UGCAGCUGUGAUCGUUUGGGUUCCCCUGAAGCGAGGCCGCAGCCCUCACCAGGCCCAUCCGCGUGAAGGCGUGGUAAUACGUGAGCAGCGUGUCCGACAGGCUGGCGACGCCAUCUGGCUCGUCGUAAACAUUCUCCCAGUACGAGUUCAGUCCCAGCGUCCCCUGAGGAAACGGUCCAAACAGGGUCAGACCGCACUGACACCAUGUUGAAUGCCAAGCGGACCCUGCAGCAGCGCCAAGGAGCUCAGGGCAAUGUUUUGGCACAGACCUGCCAGAGACAGAAGCGAGACAACCGGGUUUGGCAAAGGGAGAGUGGAGCAGGCAGCAGCGUGUACGCGUAGAAUCGCUUCAUGCUGGUGACCAGAUCGUCCUUGGAGUUGAUCACAUAUUCCACAAACAUGCGG